GAAAAUAAAAUAUGGCCCAACUCUGGCUUUAGCUGAUAAAUAGCAUCCACCUGCUCACGGGGGUCUCUUUGGCCCUUUUUCGCUUCGAAACUUCGUCAGUGGGGAAGGAGAAGGACGAGGGCCAAACGUGGAUUCUUCACAUUUCAAGAGGCAAAUUGCAACAUUCUUUUGAGACUAAGUUCCCUAAUCGUGUCAAACUUCCUACUACAAAUGCAAGAGACCGAUUUGAUUAUUCGGCCGAUAAGGAGUUCUACCAAUUAACUUUUGAUAUGAUGCUGGCUUGGGAGUCCCCUGGUGUCAAUAUAUUUCAGUGAUUUGCAACAAUGUUAAAAUACAUGUAUAUUAUCUCUAAGAGUGAAAUGAUUGCAUCUUAUGUUAUUAAAGAAAAUUGAGUAUAAAACUUGCAAUACUGAAGAACUUGUAUAUUAUCUCCGAUGGCUGUUCUUAAAGCAAAUUCCUUGGCA